CGUGUAGGCGGUUGUUUAAGUCUGAUGUGAAAGCCCUGGGCUCAACCCAGGAAGUGCAUUGGAAACUGAACAACUUGAGUACGGGAGAGGAAAGUGGAAUUCCGAGUGUAGGGGUGAAAUCCGUAGAUAUUCGGAGGAACACCAGUGGCGAAGGCGGCUUUCUGGACCGAUACUGACGCUGAGACGCGAAAGCGUGGGGAGCAAACCGGAUUAGAUACCCGAGUAGUCC
rnacentral:rRNA from 1 species